rnacentral:rRNA from 1 species
GAUAAACGCUGGCGGCGUGCAUGAGACAUGCAAGUCGAACGAACGAGCUUGCUCGUUAGUGGCGGACGGCUGAGUAACGCGUAGGUGACCUGCCCCGAAGUGGGGGAUAACUGCCCGAAAGGGUGGCUAAUACCGCAUGUGGCGACACUUUCAUUGGUGUCAUCAAAGCCGCGAGGCGCUUCGGGAGGGGCCUGCGUCCGAUUAGCUCGUUGGUGGGGUAAUGGCUCACCAAGGCGACGAUCGGUAGGUGGUCUGAGAGGACGAUCACCCAGACUGGGACUGAGACACGCCCCAGACUCCUACGGGAGGCAGCAGUCGGGAAUUUUGCUCAAUGGGCGCAAGCCUGAAGCAGCAACGUCGCGUGCGGGAUGAAGGCCUUCGGGUUGUAAACCGCUUUUGUCAGGGACGAUGAUGACGGUACCUGACGAAUAAGUCACGGCUAACUACGUGCCAGCAGCCGCCGUAAUAC